GACAAUAUGAAGGCCAGGCUGAAGACUUUGCCGGAUUAGCUGAGAGGUGGUGCAUGGCCGUCGUCAGUUCGUACUGUGAAGCAUCCUGUUAAGUCAGGCAACGAGCGAGACCCACGCCCACAGUUGCCAGCGUACUCUCUGGAGUGACGGGUACACUGUGGGACCGCCGCUGCUAAAGCGGAGGAAGGAAUGGGCAACGGUAGGUCAGUAUGCCCCGAAUAUCCCGGGCUACACGCGAGCUACAAUGGUUGGUACAAUGGGUAUCUACCCCGAAAGGGGACGGGAAUCUCCUAAAACCAAUCUUAGUUCGGAUUGAGGGCUGCAACUCGCCCUCAUGAAGCUGGAAUCCGUAGUAAUCGCGUUUCAACAGAACGCGGUGAAUACGUCCCUGCUCCUU
rnacentral:rRNA from 1 species